UAUGAAUAUUCAUAAAAAACUUUAGACAGAAGCCAUGGUAAUUUCUUCCACAAGUUUUCAUUUGAAGGAGAUAAACCCGAAGACCUGUAAUACCUGACGCUGUAUAGGUGCAACAGCUACAGGAUAUUUGACUUAAAUCCUGAACAACCAAAUAUAUUGCAGGAGGAGCAGCUGGAACGUUUGAAGAAAGAAUUUCCAGAGUGGAAAAGCCAUGUGUUCCACAGUCAGCCAUUUAAAUCCAUAUCUCCAUGUAAAUGUCAUGUAGUUGCCUGGAAGAGAAAUCUAUAGAUAACUUGAAGAGUGUUCAAACGCAGAAGGAUUAAUUGCUGACAAGCUGUAGCAGUUAUCUGACAACAGGAAAUUAAGAGAGUGAUCGCAAGAUACGUGUAAAUAGAUCAGGCACUUUUAAAUCCCGUUCUCCGCGGCUGCCGCUGCCGGGGCGCUGCCCCCGGGGAGGGGGCGGGCUGGGCCCGGGAUCCCGCCCCCGGGGAGGCCCCGUCGGGCAGGGCAGGGCCCGGGAUACC
rnacentral:lncRNA from 1 species